rnacentral:rRNA from 1 species
CCUUCGGGUUGUAAAGUACUUUCAGCAGUGAGGAAGGUGGGUAUGUUAAUAGCAUACUCAUUUGACGUUAGCUGCAGAAGAAGCACCGGCUAACUCCGUGCCAGCAGCCGCGGUAAUACGGAGGGUGCGAGCGUUAAUCGGAAUUACUGGGCGUAAAGCGCAUGCAGGUGGUUUGUUAAGUCAGAUGUGAAAGCCCGGGGCUCAACCUCGGAAUUGCAUUUGAAACUGGCAAACUAGAGUACUGUAGAGGGGGUAGAAUUUCAGGUGUAGCGGUGAAAUGCGUAGAGAUCUGAAGGAAUACCGGUGGCGAAGGCGGCCCCCUGGACAGAUACUGACACUCAGAUGCGAAAGCGUGGGGAGCAAACAGGAUUAGAUACCCUGGUAG